rnacentral:rRNA from 1 species
AGUGAACGCUGGCGGUAGGCCUAACACAUGCAAGUCGAACGGCAGCACAGUAAGAGCUUGCUCUUACGGGUGGCGAGUGGCGGACGGGUGAGGAAUACAUCGGAAUCUACUUUUUCGUGGGGGAUAACGUAGGGAAACUUACGCUAAUACCGCAUACGACCUACGGGUGAAAGCAGGGGAUCUUCGGACCUUGCGCGAUUGAAUGAGCCGAUGUCGGAUUAGCUAGUUGGCGGGGUAAAGGCCCACCAAGGCGACGAUCCGUAGCUGGUCUGAGAGGAUGAUCAGCCACACUGGGACUGAGACACGGUCCAGACUCCUACGGGAGGCAGUAGUGGGGAAUAUUGGACAAUGGGCGCAAGCCUGAUCCAGCCAUACCGCGUGGGUGAAGAAGGCCUUCGGGUGGUAAAGCCCUUUUGUUGGGAAAGAAAAGCAGCAGGUUAAUACCCCGCUGUUCUGACGGUACCCAAAGAAUAAGCACCGGCUAACUUCGUG